CUUCUUUAUAUAGGGAAUUUUUUCAUGUAAAAGACCAAGAAAAUAAGAGCACUCAAUUUCACAAAAGUUACGAAGUAUUUAAACUUCCUGAAAUCAAAAUAUCAUCUUUUGCUUGUUUGUGAGGGGUUUUAGAAAUACUGACCCAGGAAAUUAAAACUCCAGAAUGACCUACUCCUUGGUUUGGGACAAAUUUAUUAACUAAUUAAAACUAGUUUUAAGCUUCCGGAUAAAAGGAGACAUUUCUAAUUAUCUGUAAGUAAUAUUUGUUUUCUCACUAUGAUGAAAUAUAACAAAAGAAUCAAAAACUAACUUCAGACAGAGAUUCACAGAUAAUCUAAUGUCAGGAUAUGGAAAAAGAUCACAAUUUUAUCAAAAGUGAGAUGGAGUUGGAUUGAGGGAGGAAAAAACGUAGUUUCAAUGAAUAGUAAGUUUGGCCUUUAUUUUGUGAAAACAGACUAUCUGAAAGGGCAGAAGUUCUAAACUUGUAUACUGGGUCCUUUGACACUCUGAUGUGGAGAUUUAGGGUGUAUCCCAGGAAUUCUCAAAGAGAAGGGAAGGCUCUGGCUUUCACCAGAAUUAAUUGAGGGGUUUUAUUUUUCUAACUAUAUUCGCCUGCCCAAGAGGCAAGUCAUCAUGAUAGAGGAGAAGCAUUGCUUUUGGAGCCUAAUUAUGUAGGCUUGAAUCCUAAAUUUAUAGCGCUAGUCAAAUUGCUUUCUUUCUGUAUGUUAGGAUCUUCAGCUAUAAAUGGGAAUUAAAAAUACAUCAUAGAAUGUUUUGAGGUGCAAUAGGUAAUCCAUGUAGACCGGUGGGCACGGUGUGACCUAUAAAUCCUCACUAAAUGUUAAACAUCAGCUAUUACAUUAAUAGUAAUUAUCAUUAUCAGCCAUACAGAGCUAUACUUACUAAUGGAAGUGUUUCAUAACACACAGACGUGAAGAACAGAAAACCAGUUGAGAAUUUCAAUGAUCAGUAAGAGAACUGGACAGCCACUCUCCACAACUCAGCAAUGGACAAGUAAGGAAAGAUGUAAAGCACGGAUUCGUCUCACCCUGUUUUCAGAGAAAGAAACCACAAUGGACCUACUGUCAAAUACACACAAUUCAUGGACCAAAUUUAUGUCUCCUUUCUUAUGAUCGCAAACUGGCCUGAAAACUUAAGCAGGGAUCUUGUAUCUCUUUCCCAUAAGGAUACAGCCAAGUGAUGGAAAGAAAGAAGAAAAUACCUUUAAAGUCCUCCUUUCUGGAUCUCAUCUAAUCCCUUCUUAUCCUUUUAGUAAUAAAAACAACCUCACAGCAAGUGAAAUUUCUAUA
rnacentral:lncRNA from 1 species